rnacentral:lncRNA from 1 species
AUGGGAGCAGACAGGGUUCUUGGUUCCCAGCGCCGUAUAUUUCAGCAGAAAAGACAGACGAGGAGCUUGGAACCGAACCGGCAGCCGGUGACUGCAGGGAAACUCUCGAGACGUGAGACCGCAGGAACUCGAGUGCAGCAGCCGCAAGAAGCUUCUUCUCAAAACCAUGACUGCGAUUCCGUGAGUAAUCUUUCCCUUUUCCAGGUUGCUGUGGGGCACCAGACCCGUCCAGCAGGAUUCCGUGUUAUCCCAGGGCUCCUGCUAAGAGUUUUCCAUUUAGUGGAGUCAUUUCCCUGACCGCUCGUGAUAGCAGGAGCCCCACUGUAGAGAUCAGAUUUAUUUUGCUGAAAAUGGCCCGGGAACAAGAGCCUCUCGGUAGAGGCUCUGUUUUCAGAUCCUGAUUGCAGCACCAGGGACUGAAACGAGUGCCUCGUUGUUAUGGAGAAUCCUCCCCUCGGGUCUCUGUAUCCUGCUUGCAGACAGCCUUGAAGCUACCGCUUUGGAGCUCGCAAUCGGAUCCCGCAGUUCCCCUUCUUCGCGUGGAAACAGCCCCGAGUAGAUCACAGACAAACAGCGCUCCGCCCUCCAGUCUUCGCGGUGUAGAGAAGCACAGACCCACCCCGCACACUUAAGAAAAGCUAGUUGAAGUCCAAAGUAUGAGUUAGAAAUUGUGCGUGAAUUUUAACCAAAUGCUUCAAUAGAUGAUCAGCAUUCAUGAACAUCGAAUGAGUUUAAGCUUCUCAAAGUCAAAUUAACAUCAACUUCAAUUGAAAGUAAAUUAUCUCCCCCCAAAUUAAAGGCUUCAUUGAGGAAAGAAUGUGAAUACAAAGUUACCCCUCUCAUCUAAGUAAUUCAGCUGAUUUCUCUUUUCUAGGGCAGGAAAGUAGGUUUCAUAAGAUAGAAAGAACGUGUUCAAUAAAUUACAAUAACUGUAACACUUUGCAGCUGGUUGGCUCAGAUUUUUCUAAUAAAGUUCAAAAAUUAAGAGAUGAUUGCUUUUCAGUUUGAGACUUUUUAUAAUUCAUGCAGCCAUCUCUAAGUAAAAGUAAAAUAUAUAGUAUUCUAAAGACAGGGAUAUGGAUUUGAAUUUGAUUUAAAAAACAGCAGGCGGUAAAGCAUUCAGGCCAUUAAGACAUAAAUUAUCACUUGCGGGAGUAGAUGAGAGCUUGGUUCCGAUAGAGCUGAUGUUAAAUCAGAAUUAGAGCAACGUUCUCAGUAUGAUUUUAAGUGCUCAGGCUCCUGUUCUGAACUGCCCCUCAUUCUCCCUUCCACCCACAAAUAAAAAUGUGCGGGAUGAGGAAGACUGGUUUUACGAUGUUCCACACAAAGUAUUUCCUGCCACUCUGACCAAGUCCCAACCUGGUCUACGAAAAGAGGGUGAAUUUCCAG